rnacentral:rRNA from 1 species
CCUACGGGUGGCAGCAGUGAGGAAUAUUGGUCAAUGGACGAGAGUCUGAACCAGCCAAGUAGCGUGAAGGAUGACUGCCCUAUGGGUUGUAAACUUCUUUUAUAUGGGAAUAAAACGUUCCACGUGUGGGAUUUUGUAUGUACCAUAUGAUUAAGGAUCGGCUAACUCCGUGCCAGCAGCCGCGGUAAUACGGAGGAUCCGAGCGUUAUCCGGAUUUAUUGGGUUUAAAGGGAGCGUAGGUGGAUUGUUAAGUCAGUUGUGAAAGUUUGCGGCUCAACCGUAAAAUUGCAGUUGAAACUGGCAGUCUUGAGUACAGUAGAGGUGGGCGGAAUUCGUGGUGUAGCGGUGAAAUGCUUAGAUAUCACGAAGAACUCCGAUUGCGAAGGCAGUUCACUGGACUGCAACUGACACUGAGGCUCGAAAGUGUGGGUAUCAAACAGGAUUAGAUACCCUUGUAGUC